UAUAGAUGCACGGGGUGCCGGAAGGCUGAGAUAAAACCCGAAACCUGAUUUGGAUAAUGCCAACGUAGGGAUGCAGAUUUAUGAAUAU
rnacentral:ncRNA from 2 species